rnacentral:rRNA from 1 species
CUGGAGGUAUCAGAAGUGCGAAUGCUGACAUAAGUAACGAUAAAGCGGGUGAAAAGCCCGCUCGCCGGAAGACCAAGGGUUCCUGUCCAACGUUAAUCGGGGCAGGGUGAGUCGACCCCUAAGGCGAGGCCGAAAGGCGUAGUCGAUGGGAAACAGGUUAAUAUUCCUGUACUUGGUGUUACUGCGAAGGGGGGACGGAGAAGGCUA